rnacentral:ncRNA from 18 species
CUAAACUGGCCGCACUUUGGUGCCCGCGCGCGCUUUUCCACAGUGUGCGCAGUUAAACGGGAAGCAGGGCGCGCGCUUCGCCUGAACGCGCCAACCUGCGCUGCCCCCGCAACGGUAAGCGACCGCAUUCGUCAUGCAGGUCGAUCCUGAUCGCGUGUUUGAAGCUGAACACGCGAGUGUGCCACUGCGCGUCACGCGUGGGAAGGCGGGAUCGAUGUGUCGCCAGCCCGGAUACCGGCCAGAGGGAGAGGCUCGUUC